AUUGAACGCUGGCGGCAUGCUUUACACAUGCAAGUCGAACGGUAACAGGCCUUCGGGUGCUGACGAGUGGCGAACGGGUGAGUAAUGCAUCGGAACGUACCCAGAGGUGGGGGAUAACGCAGCGAAAGCUGUGCUAAUACCGCAUGUGAUCUGAGGAUGAAAGCGGGGGACCGAGCAGCAAUGUUUGGCCUCGCGCCUUUGGAGCGGCCGAUGUCGGAUUAGCUAGUUGGUGGGGUAAAGGCCUACCAAGGCGACGAUCCGUAGCUGGUCUGAGAGGACGACCAGCCACACUGGGACUGGGACACGGCCCAGACUCCUGCGGGAGGCAGCAGUGGGGAAUUUUGGACAAUGGGCGCAAGCCUGAUCCAGCAAUGCCGCGUGCGGGAAGAAGGCCUUCGGGUUGUAAACCGCUUUUGGCAGGAACGAAACGGUGUCCGCUAAUACCGGGCGCUAAUGACGGUACCUGCAGAAUAAGCACCGGCUAACUACGUG
rnacentral:rRNA from 1 species